GAUGAACGCUGGCGGCGUGCUUAACACAUGCAAGUCGAACGAAGCACUUUAUUUUAUUUCCUUCGGGACUGAUUAUUUUGUGACUGAGUGGCGGACGGGUGGGUAAAGCGUGGGUAACCUGCCUUGUACAGGGGUAUAACAUUUGGAAACGGCUGCUAAUACCGCAUAAUCGCACAGCAUUGCAUGAUGCAGUGUGAAAAACUCAGGUCGUAUAAGAUGGACCCGCGUUGGAUUAGCUAGUUGGUGAGGUAACGGCCCACCAAGGCGACGAUCCAUAGCCGACCUGAGAGGGUGACCGGCCACAUUGGGACUGAGACACGGCCCAAACUCCUACGGGAGGCAGCAGUGGGGAAUAUUGCACAAUGGGCGAAAGCCUGAUGCAGCGACGCCGCGUGAGCGAAGAAGUAUUUCGGUAUGUAAAGCUCUAUCAGCAGGGAAGAUAAUGACGGUACCUGACUAAGAAGCACCGGCUAACUCCGUG
rnacentral:rRNA from 1 species